UUCUCAGAGGAGAUCUGAGUGAACUGUGAUAGACUGAGAGGGCUUGCUUGUGGAAAUAAUAGGGAAAAGUAAGAGAUAAAGAAGGAGAAGAACUUGAUAUUGAUAAAGAGGCAUCAAAUUAUUACAUACGUAUAAUGUUCUCUUAUAUACAUGAAAGGGAAGACCUAUUCAUCUAAUGGACCGCACAUCCAUGGGCCAUAGGCCCUAUAACACUCCCCCUUGUGCGGUUCAAUAAUAAAACUUUAUACAUAGUGCUUCACAUAUAGUGCUUUAAAUGUAGUUCUUCAAA